UAGAAAUGAUAAUUAUGUCCCCAGAUGAUCGAAACUGAACAUACAUUGCCAUUUUAUUCUCUUUUCAAUGAGACUCCAAGUCAGUUAUAUUGUACUA
rfam:Gossypium hirsutum cultivar TM-1 chromosome 24, whole genome shotgun sequence